rnacentral:rRNA from 1 species
UCCUGGCUCAGGAUGAACGCUGGCGGCGUGCCUAAUACAUGCAAGUCGAGCGAAUGGAUUAAGAGCUUGCUCUUAUGAAGUUAGCGGCGGACGGGUGAGUAACACGUGGGUAACCUGCCCAUAAGACUGGGAUAACUCCGGGAAACCGGGGCUAAUACCGGAUAACAUUUUGAACCGCAUGGUUCGAAAUUGAAAGGCGGCUUCGGCUGUCACUUAUGGAUGGACCCGCGUCGCAUUAGCUAGUUGGUGAGGUAACGGCUCACCAAGGCAACGAUGCGUAGCCGACCUGAGAGGGUGAUCGGCCACACUGGGACUGAGACACGGCCCAGACUCCUACGGGAGGCAGCAGUAGGGAAUCUUCCGCAAUGGACGAAAGUCUGACGGAGCAACGCCGCGUGAGUGAUGAAGGCUUUCGGGUCGUAAAACUCUGUUGUUAGGGAAGAACAAGUGCUAGUUGAAUAAGCUGGCACCUUGACGGUACCUAACCAGAAAGCCACGGCUAACUACGUGCCAGCAGCCGCGGUAAUACGUAGGUGGCAAGCGUUAUCCGGAAUUAUUGGGCGUAAAGCGCGCGCAGGUGGUUUCUUAAGUCUGAUGUGAAAGCCCACGGCUCAACCGUGGAGGGUCAUUGGAAACUGGGAGACUUGAGUGCAGAAGAGGAAAGUGGAAUUCCAUGUGUAGCGGUGAAAUGCGUAGAGAUAUGGAGGAACACCAGUGGCGAAGGCGACUUUCUGGUCUGUAACUGACACUGAGGCGCGAAAGCGUG